AAUGGUAUUACUGGAUCAUAUGGUAAUUGUGUUUAAUUUUUAAGGAACCACCGUACUAUUUUCCACAGCAACUAUACCGUUUUACAUUCCCAUCAGCAGU
rnacentral:pre_miRNA from 1 species